CCUACGGGAGGCAGCAGUGAGGAAUAUUGGUCAAUGGACGAGAGUCUGAACCAGCCAAGUAGCGUGAAGGAUGACUGCCCUAUGGGUUGUAAACUUCUUUUAUAAAGGAAUAAAACGAGGCACGUGUGCCUUUUUGCAUUUACUUUAUGAAUAAGGAUCGGCUAACUCCGUGCCAGCAGCCGCGGUAAUACGGAGGAUCCGAGCGUUAUCCGGAUUUUUGGGGUUUAAAGGGAGCGUAGAUGGGUUGUUAAGUCAGUUGUGAAAGUUUGGGGCGCAAACGUAAGAGUGCAAUUGAUACUGGCAGUCUUGAGUACAGGUGAGGUAAGCGGAAUGCGUGGUGUAGCGGUGAAAUGCAUAGAUAUCACGAAGAACCCCGAGUGCGAAGGCAGCUUACUAAACUGUGACUGACAUUGAUGCUCGAAAGUGUGGGUAUCAAACAGGAUUAGAUACCCCAGUAGUC
rnacentral:rRNA from 1 species